GUCUUCCCCAAGGUCAGGAGCUUCAGGUUCUUCUAGCAAAUAGCUCAACCCCAGAAGCAUAAAGAUUCUGCCAUCAAAGCUGCAGAGCUGCUGCAGUCAACCUGGCUGCUUUGGCAUGAGCUCAAGAGAUGGGGAGUCAUCCUGCAGGAAGCAUCCAUGCAGAGAAGCAGCAGUUGCUAUUGGAGGAGGGUUCCAGCUGACUGGGGUUGCAAGGAAGGAAUGAACCUCAAGCUGUGUGGAUCUUUGGAAAGGGAGAGGAAACAAGG